rnacentral:lncRNA from 1 species
CUUCAAAUGACUGAAAUUCUUCAGAUGGUUUCUUGUGACCACUCGUAAAGAAAGUAUUUUUCUCCAGAGUCCAAAGGUAAAGUGGAGUCAGAAGAAGAACCAAACGCUGAUUCGAACAUCUGGUAGAUGGAUCAUAAUUACAGCAGAGUUGCUGGGCAGAUAAGGCUGAAGACACGUAGAAGAAAACAACUAUUGGGUGAAUUUUGUGAGCAUUGAAAUGACACAGCACAGGGGAGCUAUAAAGGGGAGUUAUGACUUUGUUCCUGUUUUUAAAUCCACACUUUGCUGGUUCAAGAAUUGCUUUAAGAUCAUACUUUUGAUCUUCCGUGCACUCCUGAAGUAGGAAAAACACUGACUAGAAGGUCAAAGUCAUAAUACUACUGUAUGGUUGAUUUGAGGGGACUUCCUAGCUGUCCACCCAGUGCAUGAAUUCUUCUCUGCAACAUCCAUAUGUAAUGGCUAUCUGUGUUUUCUUUUGACUUCCUUCAGUGAUGUGAAACUUACCCUGAAUGAGACCUUCUUCUCCUAGGAAUACAAAAAGUUAAUAAUAAUAAUAAUAAUAGUUAUUAUCAAUUUAGCAUUUAUUAAAUACCAGACAUUGGAAUACAACCUUUACCUGCAUGUCGUUUAAAUUCAUUCUAAGUAUUAUCAACCCAUUUUAGAGAUGAAGUAAUCAAGACAGCAUUAAGAAACUUCCACAAGAACAGAGAACUACUUGGUUCUGUAUGAUUCUAGAGGCUGCGCUCCUAAUCUGUGUAGAAUACCACUUCCUUCAAGUAUAUACACAUUUUUAGUCUUGCAGAAUAAGCUGAUUCCACACAGGUGUCAUCUUCACUUUCUCACCUCCUGUUCCACUCCUUCUCUUCCAGGAGGCAUUUUUAGCCCAGUUUAACAUUUCUAGUUGUCAGGGCUAUUUCUCAUAUGACUUAACUUCUAUUGCCUCCUCUCUUUCCCCUGAGUAUUCUCUUAAAAUCUCGCACUCAGAACAAAAUGUAAUAAUUUUGAAGAGGUCUGGCCACUUUUCCUGGAAGCUAUACUUCUAUUUACAUGGACUGAGAUGAAAUGACCUUUGGUCUUAGGUCAUAUUUUGGAAGUGCUAAGUUGUAU